rnacentral:tRNA from 1 species
GCUGCCGUGGCCGAGUGGUUAUGGCGGAAGAUUCGAAAUCUUCUGGGGUGACCCGCGCAGGUUCGAUUCCUGUCGGCAGCG